rnacentral:lncRNA from 1 species
CGGCAGCAAGCCGUGAACAUCGUCUCAAAAACUGCUCUUUUUGCAGUGUCGUCUACGUCCGGACCCGCAGUGAACGGAGUGCAAGAAGUGUUUCGCCGGACCGCUUCUGCGAAUUUCACGUGGAUCUGCCCUUGGGACGAGGAUUCACCCGCAAGUCGUCUCUGCACAUGCGCAUCUAGCCAGCUCGGCACAAGAAAAGCGGAGCACGUGUCGUCUACGUCCGGACCCGCAGUGAACGGACUGCAAGAAGUGUUUCGCCGGACCGCUUCUGCGAAUUUCACGUGGAUCUGCCCUUGGGACGAGGAUUCACCCGCAAGUCGUCUCUGCACAUGCGCAUCUAGCCAGCUCGGCACAAGAAAAGCGGAGCACGGUGACCCGCCCACCACUUAGCAGCAGCGGCAGCAAGCCGUGAACAUCGUCUCAAAAACUGCUCUUUUUGCAGGUUAGUGUUACUGUGUUCAAUAAUAUUCAGUUGCAAUAGUAUUUCUACUGCUGCUGCUGUCGCUGCUGCUGCUAUUGGUUUUGCUUGUGUACCGCUGGGCACCGUAUUGUGGUUGCAUAGCUACACUUGAAACAAUGUCUCUUUCUUGUAACACAUGUAAUCUGCUCAUCUCUCCUGACGAGCCCUUUGUGGAAUGUUGUAAGUGCGAGAACGGUUAUCACUUUGGAAAAUGCGCUGGCCUAACAGAAAAGUCGUUCAAGGCAAAGAACGAGGCCGCAAAGAAAUCAUGGCAGUGUCCGUCGUGUAGAAGUGCUAGUGGUGGCAACAUGUGCAGUAAAGACAGUAAUGAUUCUGAAACAGAAAUUAAGCUUGCCCUCAUGUCAAUUAACCAGAAGUUAGAACGGCUGAUGCCCCUGACAAAAAAAGUUGAAAGCAUUGAAGAGUCUCUUACCUUCAUAUCUACAAAGUUCGAUGAAUUUGAGCAAAAGUUCUGCCAUCAAGAAGCCGAUUUAAAAGACAUAAAAAAAAAAGGUGUCUGAGCUUGAAAAAAAAGAUGACCUAAAUCAAGUAACCUGUGCCCAACUUGAAAAAGAGAUGCAUGACCUUGAAUUUAGAAGCAGGCAGCUAAACUUGGAACUGCAUGGUAUUAGAGAAGUAGCAAAUGAGAAUCUUAUGGUCACAUUAAAUGACGUAGCUGACAAACUUCAAGUGCCUCACUUAAUGGAAUCGGAUGUUGCGAAUGUUCAUCGAAUUCCUGCAAAACAUGGCAAGGUGCCAGGCAUCAUUGUCCGCUUUACAAAGCAAGCGAUAAGGGACCAGUGGAUCAGGAAUAAAAAGAACCUUAAGGAUAGCCACCCACCAAUUUUCAUGCAAGAAAAUCUGACACGCCGCAAUAGAGAACUGCUCCAAGCAACGAAAGAAUGCGCCAAAGAUAAAGGCUACAAGUUUGUUUGGUAUCUCAACGGAAAAGUUCUCGUUCGGAAAAGCGAGGGAGUGAAUGCUGUGCAUGUGAAGGGAAAGAGCGACUUAGAGCACCUAUAGUGCUUCACGUUGAAUGCUUUGUUUUCUUUUGAAAUGUAAUCACGAUGGAGCACAUGAGUUAUUUUCUUCCGAGUGAUCUUAAUAAAA